rnacentral:rRNA from 1 species
GUGGGGAAUUUUGGACAAUGGGCGCAAGCCUGAUCCAGCAAUGCCGCGUGCAGGAAGAAGGCCUUCGGGUUGUAAACUGCUUUUGUACGGAACGAAACGGUCCUGGCUAAUAUCCGGGGCUAAUGACGGUACCGUAAGAAUAAGCACCGGCUAACUACGUGCCAGCAGCCGCGGUAAUACGUAGGGUGCGAGCGUUAAUCGGAAUUACUGGGCGUAAAGCGUGCGCAGGCGGUGCUGUAAGACAGGCGUGAAAUCCCCGGGCUCAACCUGGUAAUUGCGCUUGUGACUGCAGUGCUGGAGUGCGGCAGAGGUGGAUGGAAUUCCGCGUGUAGCAGUGAAAUGCGUAGAUAUGCGGAGGAACACCGAUGGCGAAGGCAAUCCCCUGGGCCUGCACUGACGCUCAUGCACGAAAGCGUGGGGAGCAAACAGGAUUAGAUACCCGUGUAGUCC